UUUCAUUCACAACUGUGUGUGUGUGUAUGCACAUGACUGUGUGUGUUUUCUACAGAUGUUCAUGUUCAGAGGCAUUUUUGAUGUUUCAUUUUCAGUGGUGAUAGGUAAGUUGAUGUUUUGUACUGCUGACCCAGAGGCUGGCACUGCCCCAAAAGCAGAGGCAGGGGAAUUCCCACAAGGGAGUAACCCAACCAUCUUGUUGUGGUGCUGAUUGGGAUUCCAAAGAAAGAAGUGCGAAGCCACCGGGUUGAUUUAUCAGGGGAACUUAUGCACAGAAUGCUGCUGUAUGUCCUCGUGAUGGACAGUGAGAGAAUAGGAAUGUUCUACUGUGGUAUGCCCGCUGUGAGCAGGUGUCCCAGACUCAAGCUGCGCUCAGCCUUCAUCACAGUUCACAGAGUCCUAAGCCAAGAGUCAGCCUUGAGUUGCUGCUAGAGACCACAGAUACUCUGAAUUCCAACUUUAAUUGGCCUUCUGAGAAGACAAAGAGCCACAGGUCCCCAACAGGUCCUAGCUACUUCCUUCAGUCCCAAGGUAGGGCACUCUAUGGAUUUCAAUAAAAGCUCCUCCUGUUUGUCCAUGAACACACUUUAUGUUACCAGAUUCAUGUUGUGGGCACAGAUGCUACUAGUUGCCUCUUCCACAUUUAGAGAAUGUAUAUUUUGAGAAGAUCUGUUAAAAGCAAAUACACAAAUCCCUAGUCUUAUUUGUUUUGUUCAGUGUAAAGAUGGUACUUUUUAAAAAGAACUGACUUCUCUUAAGACAAAACCUCAGGUUAUAUGUGAGUGUGUGUGUGGUGUGUGGAUGCGUGUGUA
rnacentral:lncRNA from 1 species